rnacentral:rRNA from 1 species
UCGAGCGAACAGACGAGGAGCUUGCUCCUCUGACGUUAGCGGCGGACGGGUGAGUAACACGUGGAUAACCUACCUAUAAGACUGGGAUAACUUCGGGAAACCGGAGCUAAUACCGGAUAAUAUAUUGAACCGCAUGGUUCAAUAGUGAAAGACGGUUUUGCUGUCACUUAUAGAUGGAUCCGCGCCGCAUUAGCUAGUUGGUAAGGUAACGGCUUACCAAGGCAACGAUGCGUAGCCGACCUGAGAGGGUGAUCGGCCACACUGGAACUGAGACACGGUCCAGACUCCUACGGGAGGCAGCAGUAGGGAAUCUUCCGCAAUGGGCGAAAGCCUGACGGAGCAACGCCGCGUGAGUGAUGAAGGUCUUCGGAUCGUAAAACUCUGUUAUUAGGGAAGAACAAAUGUGUAAGUAACUAUGCACGUCUUGACGGUACCUAAUCAGAAAGCCACGGCUAACUACGUGCCAGCAGCCGCGGUAAUACGUAGGUGGCAAGCGUUAUCCGGAAUUAUUGGGCGUAAAGCGCGCGUAGGCGGUUUUUUAAGUCUGAUGUGAAAGCCCACGGCUCAACCGUGGAGGGUCAUUGGAAACUGGAAAACUUGAGUGCAGAAGAGGAAAGUGGAAUUCCAUGUGUAGCGGUGAAAUGCGCAGAGAUAUGGAGGAACACCAGUGGCGAAAGGCGACUUUCUGGUCUGUAACUGACGCUGAUGUGCGAA